rnacentral:rRNA from 1 species
UGCCAGCCGCCGCGGUAAUACGAAGGGUGCUAGCGUUGUUCGGAAUUACUGGGCGUAAAGCGCGCGUAGGCGGCCUGCCAAGUUAGAGGUGAAAUCCCGGAGCUUAACUCCGGAACUGCCUUUAAAACUGGUAAGCUAGAGGAUGUGAGAGGUGAGUGGAACUCCGAGUGUAGAGGUGAAAUUCGUAGAUAUUAGGAAGAACACCAGUGGCGAAGGCGGCUUACUGGACCGGUACUGACGCUGAGGUACGAGAGCGUGGGGAGCGAACAGGAUUAGAUA